UAUUUUUAUUAGUGAAGUAACCAUGUCCAGUUUGUGUCUGGGAUGUUACAAUUGGUUUAACGACUUCAAUUUCAACUAGUUCAUUAAGGGUUCAAUGCUUUUCGGGAAUUUAUGAGCAAGUUUUCCUUGAAUCUCACAAGACAUUGAGACUUCUACGUGCUAGUUUUCAAAGUUUGUCAGUUAGAAUUAAUGAAUUUAGGCUUCACCCAUGUUGUUUGUUAUUUCUGUCGUCAAUCUUAAACUCUCUUCUUGCAGAUUUCAAGCAUGCUCUCGUCCUUGAACCACAGAAAAAGGCUGCAAAAGUCGCAGAGAAAAGACUCAGAAAAUUAGCAGGAUGAUCUCAUUUUGCAGAUGAUGUACUGUAUAUAGUCGAGAGAACUUUUAGGUACCAAAUCCAGCUCAGUCUGGAAAAUUUUGUGUUUACUGCCUGCAAUUUCCGAUGGUUGGCCAAACAGCUAAAGCUAUAGAUGAAUAUGCUAUUUUUAAGACCAAAGAUGCAGAGUCGAACCAAGAAGCAGAGAAGGUGGAUCCAAGAUUGGAGGCUACUGUAGAGAGGAUUUUAAGGAAGUGCAUCUUGGACCAAAAAUUCUGACAAGCUAUCGGAAUUGCGAUUGAGUGCAGAAGGUUGGACAAACUUGAGGAAGCUAUUAGGUGUGAUAAUAUUCCUGUAGCACUUGAUUAUUGCAUAAAUCUCUCUCAUUCCUUUGUUUUCCUGAAAGAAUGCCACAGUGAGGUGCGAAUAUUAUUUAUUUCAUUUUUUUCUUCGGAAAUAUGGUUCAAGGAUCUUUUUGGUACAUCUCCUAAUCCAUGCUGAGUUGUUAACUGAAUUAAAAAGGGGUCUUUUUCUGUAUCUUGAAUUUUAGGGUUCGUAGGUGAAUCGGUCACUGGUGCUACCCACUUUCUAGUUCAAAAUAUUUAUUCUUGAUAGUUACUUUGUAUAAUAUGUUUUCAAGUGUCUUCCCUGCAAUACGGUGAACUUGUUAUUGUAUGCCUUUUGUAAUCUUUGAUACAUGAGCAUACCUCCUUGUUUAUAUUCAAGUUACCUGCUUAUGUUUAUUCAUUUUUUCCUAAUUGGACCGCCGCAAAGGGCAACCUCUUGGUUUCCUACCUGUGAAGUUUCCUUGGAAGAGGCUGAGGAGAUUAAGAAAGUGCUGUCAGUUAGUGGUUAUAAGUGAAGAUGGGAAGAAAGUCAGGCGUCAAAAUCCAAUCACCGAGUCAGAUAUGGAAGAACUGCAGUGUCAAGACAAUACGUACCUGCCAGCCGCAGCUCUCUGACGAUGGUGGUUGUGCUUCUGCAGCAUCUAAAUCGAGAAAGUUGAAAACAUGCUUUAAAGUAAUAAGAUCAAUACAAGUUUGCCGCCAGCGGAUACCAGACCUGAUCUAAGCUGUCAUACUCAUGACGAUCAACUACAACUUUUCAACAAGAUAGUACGCAAGGGGAUCAUUCAGCAGCCCACAUCAAAUCUCUACAGUUAAUCUGGAUCUGCAAGAAAAUAGUUGGUGUUGAAGUGCUUUCGCUCAAAGCUGUAGCUGCAAUUAGGUAUACAAUUUUCUAGUUACAGAUUAUGUUAACAUUGUAUCUAUUUACUGCUUCCACGUAGAACAUUGUACGUCAAUUACUGAUUUUGCCGUCUUUAUCAUCUCAGUAAGUUGUAAAACUUGUAAACAUUUCUAUCUUCUACUGUGAUACUUUUAAG